AAAAAAGCAGUGUCUUGCUGUGCCUUUGUGAGCUGGAUUCUCGUAAACUUCAGGAAUAUCAUUUCCAUUGUUAUUGGGUGAACCUCUGAAUCUGUUUUAGUGACUGAAGGUUCAGUAAAUGAUGGAACAUUU